GCUUUGGUAUCAGGAUGAUGCUGGCCUCAUAAAAUGAGUUAGGGAGAAUUCCCUCUUUUUCUAUUGAUUGGAAUAGUUUCAGAAGGAAUGGUACCAGCUCAGCUCCUCCUUUUACCUCUGGUGGAAUUCGGCUGUAAAUCCGUCUGGUCCUGGACUUUUUUUGGUUGCAUAAGGAAUAAAACUGUUCUUUUGAAAUGAAGAAGAGAACCACCUAGGAGACUACCACCCUGACCUGAGGACUUCACUAGGGAUUCAGGAAAGAAGACACAGAAAGAAAGCAAUCCUCAAGGAUCAGGAUGGACAGCAGGAGGCAAUGUGCACCUAACCCAGAUGGAAGGGAAUGGCCCAGGGUGACCAGCUGGCUCUCUUUAUCAAGCUCAGGCUCCUCAAGUCCUCACUUGGAAGAACAGUCACAGACUCCAUAUGCAGAUAAGCAGGAAACUGACAUCUUUGUCUUCAGCAGUUGUUGAGCUGGUGCCUGCUAAGGAGAUGCAGGAAGUUAAUGAACUUCACUGAAUGAGCAAAAUUGUGUCGCUGCUUGAGUAAGUUCAUGUUUCUGAAGAGACAGCUCAUAGCACACAUCAGAUCCUUAACCUGUGCCCCCUUUUCCCAAAAGAGUCACUUUCCAAAGGAGAUUCAAAUUCUGAC